rnacentral:misc_RNA from 1 species
GAUGAAGAACGUAGCGAAAUGCGAUAAGUAGUGUGAAUUGCAGAAUUUAGUGAAUCAUCGAGUCUUUGAACGCACAUUGCGCCUCCCGGCAUUCCGGGAGGCAUGCCUGUUCGAGCGUCAUUAAAAAGCCAUCACGCGAGCUUGCCUCGCCUGGUUCUGGGGGAUGGUCUGCCCUCCGGGGAAUCCCACCCCCGAAAUCCAACGGCGGACAACCCACCAGUGGAACUGCGGCGUAGUAAGUUAAUUCUUUCGCCUGCAGCCAUGGAGGGAUCAUCCUGCCGGUUGCGAAACCCCCACAUCCAACGGUUGACCUCGGAUCAGGUAGGGAUACCCGCUGAACUUAAGCAUAUCAAUAAGCGGAGGGA